GUCGAGCGAUGAAACUUUAACAGAACUCUUCGGAGUGAAGAUAAAGUGGAUUAGCGGCGGACGGGUGAGUAACACGUGAGUAACCUGCCUUAGACAUUGGGAUAGCCUCGGGAAACCGGGAUUAAUACCAAAUAAAAUCAUAAUGACACAUGUCAUAACGAUCAAAACUCCGGUGGUCUAAGAUGGACUCGCGUCCCAUUAGCUAGUUGGUAGAGUAAAAGCCUACCAAGGCGACGAUGGGUAGCCGGCCUGAGAGGGUGAACGGCCACAUUGGAACUGAGAAACGGUCCAAACUCCUACGGGAGGCAGCAGUGGGGAAUAUUGCACAAUGGAGGGAACUCUGAUGCAGCGACGCCGCGUGAACGAAGAAGGCUUUCGAGUCGUAAAGUUCUUUUAUAUGGGAAGAUAAUGACGGUACCAUAAGAAAAAGCCCCGGCUAACUACGUGCCAGCAGCCGCGGUAAUACGUAGGGGGCUAGCGUUGUCCGGAAUCACUGGGCGUAAAGGGUUCGCAGGCGGAAAUGCAAGUCAGAUGUAAAAGGCAGUAGCUUAACUACUGUAAGCAUUUGAGACUGCAUAUCUUGAGAAGAGUAGAGGUAAGUGGAAUUUUUAGUGUAGCGGUGAAAUGCGUAGAUAUUAAAAAGAAUACCGGUGGCGUAGGCGACUUACUGGGCUCAUUCUGACGCUGAGGAACGAAAGCGUGGGUAGCAAACAGGAUUA
rnacentral:rRNA from 2 species